rnacentral:ncRNA from 1 species
AUUAUUUCAGGGCAAACCUGCUGAAAGGCAGGGACGCAAAGCCAGAAGUGGCUAAAAUC